rnacentral:misc_RNA from 1 species
UUUUCUCUUUUUUUUUUUAAAUUUUUUCAUCUGUAUAAUAUAUAUAUAAAAGGGAAAGCAUUUUAGUCAGCUCAUCAGUCAUCCUUAUUUUUCCAUGUCACAUUGUUAAGACCCCUUAGAAGCUUUGUUUUUGCUUAUUCGGAUAUUAAUUUCAUCCAUACUUGAAUAUGUUGCUAUUAAUUACGGUUCAGGUGAUUUAUUUUCUUUAUUGUGAUAAAAUCUAAUGAUAAAAAAUUAACUAUAAUCAUCCAGGGUAACAUCACUACAACAAUUGCUCUUUGUUGUGCUUCUAAAAAUUGGGACAUCUCAAGAUCCAAAGAUAUUUUAGCCACAUUGACAGGUAUAGCAAUGAUAUACGAUCUAAAAUUCUAAGCAAAACAAAAAUAUGACUUCAGUAACAUGAGAAAAAGAAAGCAAAAGCUUUCUUAAACUUAAAGAAAUUUUGACACAUCAUCUAUUGAGUAAGACAAUGGUGUUCACACCCUGGCCAAUACUACCAAUAUAAUCCCUUUAAAAUUUAUUACAUUACAAGUCCAAAGCAUUAAUUUAAUCAAGCCUUAAACCCAUAGUCCCAUACCAGUAGGGUUGUCUACAAGGAUGUGUUUGUUUAAUUACAUCCAUUUAGGGCUACAUCUUUAAAAAGAUCAAUGGCUACAUUUAAAAAGAAAGGGGUAUUGCCCAUAGUCAUCAGUUGAGAACCGCGCUAACAAUGUAGUUUAUAAAGAAGAUAUCUGAAAAAAUCCAACCUCGAGAAAAUGCUAACAAUGCAGUUUAUACAUUCAUUGAUUUUUUCUUUCAUCAAAUUGUGGACAUUGGAUUUUGUCCUUUUUUUAGCAUAAAGAUACUUUCAUCUAGAGUAUGAUAUGUUGUACCCAAUAUAAUAUGCAAAAUAAAUUCAAUCUAAUUACUUCAGCAGCAUGUCUUUUAUCUAGGUCAUUUGUCCACAUGGAGAUUUGUGCAAGAUUUGCCAAAGCCGGUGGUUCCUAACAGAUGUUUCAAACAUUAAAUUCUGUUCCAAGGUAAUGAAAAUGUGGUUAUAUAAACUUCAAUUAAAUAGAGAAUAAUGAAACAAGUUCAGAAAGAGACAGAGAAUAAAAGAUAAAAUCAAUGAUAAUGCUUUGAAAUGGCGACAGAAAUUGAUUAUUGUGUUAAGACACCAUACCAGAAACAUAUAUUAUUUGCAUGCAAAAUAUGUCAUGGGAAAAUCAUUAAGAAUAAAACUUAGCUUCACUGAUACAAUAAAAUGCUAUAUAAGAAGAUAUGCAUUACUCAAAAAUCUUACAAAGGGAGAAAAAGAAAUAUACACGGAAACAUGAUCUCAGAAGAAAAUGCAUAUCUCAUAAAAGUAAAUUGAAAAACAUAUGAUGGAAAAAGGAUAGCCAAAAUACAAUCGAAAAACAUAUAGG